GUGCUUUUGGGAAGAAGACGUCCCUCAUAUGUAACUUAUCCAUCUGUUCACUUUGUCAGCUCUCUAUUUCAAUAUUUUGCUGAUCAUUUAAUGAUGGAAUAUUU
rfam:Cicer arietinum chromosome Ca6, whole genome shotgun sequence.